GAGUUUGAUCCUGGCUCAGGAUGAACGCUAGCGGCACGCUUCAUACAUGCAAGUCGAGGGGCAGCAUAAAGUACUUGUACUUUGAUGGCGACCGGCGAACGGGUGCGUAACGCGUAUGCAACUUACCUUUUACUAGAGAAUAGCCAAGAGAAAUUUUGAUUAAUGCUCUAUACUCUUUUUAACUCACAUGAGUUUUUAAGAAAAGCUCCGGCGGUAAAAGAUGGGCAUGCGUCCUAUUAGCUUGUAGGUGAGGUAACGGCUCACCUAAGCUCCGAUAGGUAGGGGUCCUGAGAGGGAGAUCCCCCACACUGGUACUGAGACACGGACCAGACUUCUACGGAAGGCAGCAGUAAGGAAUAUUGGACAAUGGAGGAAACUCUGAUCCAGCGAUGCCGCGUGAAGGAAGACGGCCCUAUGGGUUGUAAACUUCUUUUAUACAGGAAGAAACCUUUCCACGUGUGGAAAGCUGACGGUACUGUAAGAAUAAGGAUCGGCUAACUCCGUGCCAGCAGCCGCGGUAAUACGGAGGAUCCAAGCGUUAUCCGGAAUUAUUGGGUUUAAAGGGUCCGCAGGCUGUUUGUUAAGUCAGGGGUGAAAUCCUACCGCUCAACGGUAGAACUGCCUUUGAUACUGGCAAACUUGAGUUAUUGUGAAGUAGUUAGAAUGUGUAGUGUAGCGGUGAAAUGCAUAGAUAUUACACAGAAUACCAAUUGCGAAGGCAGAUUACUAACAAUUAACUGACGCUGAGGGACGAAAGCGUGGGUAGCGAACAGGAUUAGAUACCCUGGUAGUCCACGCCGUAAACGAUGAGCACUGGAUGUCCGGAGGGUUCGACCCUUCUGGGUGUCUCAGCUAACGCAUUAAGUGCUCCGCCUGGGGAGUACGGUCGCAAGACUAAAACUCAAAGGAAUUGACGGGGGCCCGCACAAGCGGUGGAACAUGUGGUUUAAUUCGAUGCAACGCGAAGAACCUUACCUGGUCUUGACAUCCUCGGACCACUUCAGAGAUGAAGUUUCCUCUUCGGAGGCCGAGUGACAGGUGCUGCAUGGCUGUCGUCAGCUCGUGUCGUGAGAUGUUGGGUUAAGUCCCGCAACGAGCGCAACCCCUACCCUUAAUUGCCAUCAGGUUAAGCUGGGCACUUUAGGGGGACUGCCGGUGACAAGCCGGAGGAAGGUGGGGAUGACGUCAAGUCCUCAUGGCCUUUAUGACCAGGGCUACACACGUGUUACAAUGGGAGUUACAGAGGGAAGCUAAACCGCGAGGUCGUGCCAAUCCCAGAAAAACUUUCUCAGUUCGGAUAGCAGUCUGCAACUCGACUGCUUGAAGCUGGAAUCGCUAGUAAUCGCGGAUCAGCACGCCGCGGUGAAUACGUUCCCGGGCCUUGUACUCACCGCCCGUC
rnacentral:rRNA from 1 species